UCGUCUUCCUGUGUGGCCCACCGCCGGCUGCUUAGGCGUUCCCGGCGGUCACGAGCGCAGGCGCGGUUUUUGGUGGCCGCAAGCCUCCACAAAUCGAUGCAUUGGCUUCAUCAUUCCAAGCAAGGAUCCAAGCCUGCUUGACAUCUUCGUGCUGCUACACAUCCAGACGAUGUCGAGGCGGACAACAUGGUGGCGUCGCGAGCCCAGCCAACACAUAGCGGCGCUAGCUCUGCGUGGCCAUCGGUUGGCGCUGGAUGAAGAGAUCUACCCCUUCCUCCUUACGAUUACGAGAUGGAUGAAUCAAAGUCCACCGCGUCAGGUUUGGCCCGCCAUGAAGCCAGGGUGUACCAUGGAUGGGGAUGAAGAUGGUGUUUGCUAUGUUGGGACGGAUGCAGAGAAACUGGAUGCCAGGAGAGUGUGGAGCAGAUAGUUUGUCUAGUGGAAGCCGAAGCAAGAUCAGCACCGCAGAUCACGUGGAGAUUGGAGUUAUCAAGGUUGGCUCAAUCAACUGCUCAGCCUUCGGAGGGCUUAGGAAGUGCGAUGUCCUGUCAGUGUAAUAGGGCCUAGAUGAGUGUGUGAGCUAGAGUGUGAUUUUCUUUCCUAGCCUAAACGUUUGGCUUUUUGUUUGGCCAUGUGGCCCUGCCCUUGUUGGCACUUAAACUCUGAACUUGAGCUGCAUUACUGUUAGCUUUAUGGUAAUAAAGCUGGGGAAACCUUUUCUU